rnacentral:rRNA from 1 species
UCUGGUUGAUCCUGCCAGAAACAUUUGCUUGAAUUUAAGAUUAAGCCAUGCAUGUGAAAGUUAAUAUGAAAGAGAAGCCGCGAAUAGCUCAUUAAACCACACACAAUCUAUCGAGAUAAUAUGGGGAUAUCUGAGGUAAUUCUUUAGCUAAUACACGCAACAAAGCUCCGAUAUAGGAGUAGGGUUUAUCAGCAAAGAAUCAAACUAGCGUUAGCUAGUUACCGAGGACUCAAAUAAUCAAUCUGAAUAAGCCAUGGGCUUAUGAAUAGGAUGAAAGUGUGACUUAUCAACUGUCAACCGUGGUAUAUUUGACCACGGUGGUAUUGACGAGUAACAGAGAAUUUGGGUUCGAUUCUGGAGAGGGAGCUUUAAAGAUAGCUACCACAUCUAAGGAAGGCAGCAGGCACGCAAAUUACCCAAUUGUCGAUGACAGAGGUAGUAAUAAUAAAUAACAAUACAGGACUCGUCCGAGGCCUUGUAAUUGGAAUGUUUUUAAGAUAAAGACAUGACGGAGGAACUAUUAGAGGGCAAGUCUGGUGCCAGCAGCCGCGGUAAUUCCAGCUCUAAUAGCGUAUUUUAAUGUUGUUGCGGUUGAAAAGCUCGUAGUUGGAUAUCAUUGAUUGUAUAAGUUCAAUGUGAAUUGUUCUUAUACAGGAGAGGGAAGUCUAGCGGUGAAAAUAAACUUGAAUGUUUAUAUCCACAUAACGCCUGGCUUAAGUUACUUUGAAUAAAUCAAAGUGCUCAAAACAAGCUUUUGCUUGAAUAGAUGUGCAUGGGAUAACGCAAGAAGAUCAAUAUCGAAUCUGUUGGUUGAAUCGAUAUGGGUAAUGAUUAAUAGAGAUUGACGGGGGCAUUUGUAUUUGAAAGCGAGAGGUGAAAUUCUGUGACCUUUCAAAGACAUGCUAAAGCGAAAGCACUUGCCAAGAAUGUUUUCACUAAUCAAGAACGAAAGUUAGAGGCUCGGAGGCGAUUAGAUACCGCCCUAGUUCUAACCAUAAACAAUGCCAACUAACAACCUUGUGUAGUUUAAGUUGAAACUAACAAGGAAGUUUUCGGAAAACCAAAGUUUUUGGGUUCCGGGGGUAGUAUGGUUGCAAAGCUGAAACUUAAAGUAAUUGACGGAGUGGCACCACCAGGAGUGGAGCCUGUGGCUUAAUUUGACCCAACACGGGGAAGCUCACCAGGGCAAGACACUAUAAGGAUUGACAGAUUGAUAGCUCUUUCUCGAUAAAGUGGGUGGUGGUGCAUGGCCGUUCUUAGUUGGUGGAGUGAUUUGUCUGGUUAAUUCCGAUAACGAACGAGACUCUGACCAAUUACUAGUGAAAUCUUUUGAAAAGAAAGUUACCGCAGUAAUGCAGUUUCAUUCGAGAUUUUACUUCUUAAGGGGACACGCUAUUGUGAAUAGCACGAGGAAGAGCAAUAACAGGUCUGUGAUGCCCUUAGAUGUUCUGGGCUGCACACGCGCUACAAUAAAUUAAUCAACAAGUUCUCCGUUUUGACAGAUGCGGGCAAACUUUUGAAAUUAACUUAUGGUAGGAAUGGGAACUUGUAAUUAUUUUCCCUGAACUAGGAA